rnacentral:rRNA from 1 species
CAGCCGCCACGGUAAUACGAACCGUGCGAACGUUAUUCGGAAUUACUGGGCUUAAAGCGCGUGUAGGCGGGUCGGCACGUCGGUUGCUGAAAUCCCCCGGCUCAACCGGGGAAGUGGCGCCGAUACGGCCGGCCUGGAGGGGGGUAGGGGGGCCUGGAACUUCCGGUGGAGCGGUGAAAUGCGUUGAGAUCGGAAGGAACGCCCGUGGCGAAAGCGAGGCCCUGGACCCUUUCUGACGCUGAGACGCGAAAGCCAGGGGAGCGAACAGGAUUAGAUACCCCAGUAGUCCCUGUCUCUUAUU